rnacentral:piRNA from 1 species
UUCUAUGGUAACCGAUUGAUUGCCCCAGC